CAGUCGCCGCGGUAAUACAGAGGGUGCGAGCGUUAAUCGGAUUUACUGGGCGUAAAGCGUGCGUAGGCGGCUUCUUAAGUCGGAUGUGAAAUCCCUGAGCUUAACUUAGGAAUUGCAUUCGAUACUGGGAAGCUAGAGUAUGGGAGAGGAUGGUAGAAUUCCAGGUGUAGCGGUGAAAUGCGUAGAGAUCUGGAGGAAUACCGAUGGCGAAGGCAGCCAUCUGGCCUAAUACUGACGCUGAGGUACGAAAGCAUGGGGAGCAAACAGGAUUAGAGACCCGCGUAGUCCCUGUCUCUUAUAC
rnacentral:rRNA from 1 species